GACGAACGCUGGCGGCGUGCUUAACACAUGCAAGUCGAACGGAAAGGCCCUGCUUUUGUGGGGUGCUCGAGUGGAGAAAGGGUGAGUAACACGGGAGUAACCUGCCCUGGACUUUGGGAUAACGUCGGGAAACUGGGGCUAAUACCGGAUAGGUGCUCCUGCGGCAUGGUGGGGGUUGGAAAGUUUCGGCGGUUGGGGAUGGACUCGCGGCUUAUCAGCUUGUUGGUGGGGUAGUGGCUUACCAAGGCUUUGACGGGUAGCCGGCCUGAGAGGGUGACCGGCCACAUUGGGACUGAGAUACGGCCCAGACUCCUACGGGAGGCAGCAGUGGGGAAUAUUGCACAAUGGGCGGAAGCCUGAUGCAGCAACGCCGCGUGCGGGAUGACGGCCUUCGGGUUGUAAACCGCUUUCGCCUGUGACGAAGCGUGAGUGACGGUAAUGGGUAAAGAAGCACCGGCUAACUACGUG
rnacentral:rRNA from 1 species